rnacentral:rRNA from 1 species
AGUGAACGCUGGCGGUAGGCCUAACACAUGCAAGUCGAACGGCAGCACAGUAAGAGCUUGCUCUUACGGGUGGCGAGUGGCGGACGGGUGAGGAAUACAUCGGAAUCUACUUUUUCGUGGGGGAUAACGUAGGGAAACUUACGCUAAUACCGCAUACGACCUACGGGUGAAAGCAGGGGAUCUUCGGACCUUGCGCGAUUGAAUGAGCCGAUGUCGGAUUAGCUAGUUGGCGGGGUAAAGGCCCACCAAGGCGACGAUCCGUAGCUGGUCUGAGAGGAUGAUCAGCCACACUGGAACUGAGACACGGUCCAGACUCCUACGGGAGGCAGCAGUGGGGAAUAUUGGACAAUGGGCGCAAGCCUGAUCCAGCCAUACCGCGUGGGUGAAGAAGGCCUUCGGGUUGUAAAGCCCUUUUGUUGGGAAAGAAAAGCAGCAGGUUAAUACCCCGCCGUUCUGACGGUACCCAAAGAACAAGCACCGGCUAACUUCGUG